rnacentral:lncRNA from 1 species
CUCCUCCAAGCUCUUGCUCUAGCUCUCCUGUUGCACUCCCUUCUCUCUACUUCUCCCAAGAACAAGAAAAAUGAAACUUUCUCUCUCUAAUGGGCUAUAAGUAGCGCCCCCCACUCAUGAGACAAGGCCCAUUGGGCCUCAAGCCCACUAACUUGACCCAACUCGCGUUAACUAAAACUCUCGAUAAAUAACUUAAAGUUACUAUCUUACUUAAAAACCACAUCACCAAAUAAUUAAACACUUAAAUAGUGAAUAAUAAAUUUGGG